rnacentral:lncRNA from 1 species
AUUGCUCUUUAUAGUCAAUUUUUAACCAUUUUAUGUAAAUCUUAGUUAUCUUUUACAAAAAUCUUCUCCUCUGAAUCUACUGGGCCAAAUUAAUCCAAACUUGGCCAAAAUCAUCUUUGGGGUAUCUAGUUUAAAAAAUAUGUCCGAUGACCCGGCCAUCCAACCAAGAUGGGUGCCAUGGCUAAAAAUAGAACAUAGGGGUAAAAUGCAGUUUUUGGCUUAUAACUCAAAAACCAAAGCAUUGAGAGCAAAUCUGACGACGUAAAAUUGUUUAUCAGGCCAAGAUCUAUCUGCUCUGAAAUUUUCAGAUGAAUCGGACAACCCGUUGUUGGGUUGCUGCCCCUAAAUUGGUAAUUUUAAGGAAAUUUUACUGUUUUUGGUUAUUAUCUUGAAUAUUAUUAUAGAUAGAGAUAAACUGUAAACAACAAUAAUGUACAGCAAAGUAAGACCUAAAAAUAAGUCAACAUGACUAAAAUGGUCAAUUGACCCCCUAAGGAGUUAUUUUCCUUUAUAGUCAAUUUUUAACAAUUUUCAUAAAAUUUUAACUAACAUUUUCCACUGAAACUACUGGGCCAAGUUCAUUAUAGAUAGAAAUAAUUGUAAGCAGCAAGAAUGUUCAGUAAAGUAAGAUGUACAAACACAUCACCUUCACCAAAACACAAUUUUGUCAUGAAUCCAUCUGUGUCCUUUGUUUCAUAUUACAUAGACCAAGGUGAGCGUCACAGGCUCUUUAGAGCCUCUAGUUUAUUUAUGCAACUGAGUACAUAAUAUGAAUGUAUUCACCUUUUGUUAUAAUCUGUCUAACAAAAAUUGUAAACAAUGUGUCAGCAAAUUAUUUAUAAUAGAUAUUAAUGCACCUUUACCUAUGCACUUUAGUUUUUAAUAUAGCUUCAUCGCAUUAUCUGUUACUGAAAUUAUUUAUAUUUGAUAUUUAUAUUUAUUAAUAUUUUAUUUAGGGGCCAGCAGAAGCCUGAUUCCUGGUUUGGGAUUUUCUCUUUGUGAAAAACCCAUUAGUGGCCUUCGGCUGUUUUCAGUCAUUUGGUCGAGUUUUUUUCUCUUUGACACAUUCCAAAUUCCAAUUCUCAAUUAUAUAUAUGCACAUUCACUUUAGUACUUUUUGAUAUAGCUUCAUUGCCUUAUCUGUAACUCUGUAUAUUUAUUUACUGAUUGCUGUCAAUAUUUUUUUUGGAAGAGAUGGUUUAUACCAGUACAAGUACCACAGUUCUCAUGGCAACAUGCUUUAUUUUGUUGAAAAUUAUCUCCCUUAACGAUCUCAUCAUUAUUCUGUCAUCAAAAUGAUUUUAUACCAGUAUUGUAAAAUUAGUUAUACUAUAUUAUUACUAC